ACGGGAGGCAGCAGUGAGGAAUAUUGCACAAUGGGGGAAACCCUGAUGCAGCAACGCCACGUGUGGGAAGAAGCAUUUCGGUGUGUAAACCACUGUCGUGAGGGAAUAAUGCUUAAUUUCGGUUAAGUUGAAUGUACCUCGAAAGGAAGCACCGGCAAACUUCGUGCCAGCAGCCGCGGUAAUACGAGGGGUGCAAGCGUUGUUCGGAAUCACUGGGCGUAAAGGGAGCGCAGGCGGAGACGCAAGCAGUCUGUACAAUACCGGGGCCCAACCCCGGACCUGCAGACUGGACUGUUUCUCUUGGAUAGUUCAGGGGCAAGCGGAAUUCCUGGUGUAGCGGUGGAAUGCGUAGAGAUCAGGAAGAACACCGAUGGCGAAGGCAGCUUGCUGGGGACUUAUCGACGCUGAGGCACGAAAGCGUGGGGAUCAAACAGGAUUAGAUACCCUGGUA
rnacentral:rRNA from 1 species